rnacentral:rRNA from 1 species
GGGGGGGGGGGGGGGGGGGCGGGGGGGGGGCGGGGCGGGCGGCGGCGGGGGGGGUGGCGCCUGGUGGCGAGUGGCGGGCGGGUGAGGAAUACAUCGGGACAGGUCCUGUGGUGGGGGGUAGCCCGGCGAAAGCCGGAUGAAUACCGCAUCCGAUCUACGGCGGGAGGCGGGGGCCGUGGGGGCCGCGCGCGCGCGCGUGGGCAGAUGGCGGAGUAGCUAGUUGGUGGGGUAAAGGCCUACCAAGGCGACGAUCAGUAGCUGGUCUGAGAGGACGACCAGCCACACUGGGACUGAGACACGGCCCAGACUCCUACGGGAGGCAGCAGUGGGGAAUUUUGGACAAUGGGCGAAAGCCUGAUCCAGCAAUGCCGCGUGUGUGAAGAAGGCCUUCGGGUUGUAAAGCACUUUUGUCCGGAAAGAAAUCCUUGGCCCUAAUACGGUCGGGGGAUGACGGUACCGGAAGAAUAAGCACCGGCUAACUACGUG